GACGAACGCUGGCGGCGUGCUUAACACAUGCAAGUCGAACGGAAAGGCCCUGCUUUUGUGGGGUGCUCGAGUGGCGAACGGGUGUGUAACACGUGAGUAACCUGCCCUUGACUUUGGGAUAACUUCAGGAAACUGGGGCUAAUACCGGAUAGGAGCUCCUGCUGCAUGGUGGGGGUUGGAAAGUUUCGGCGGUUGGGGAUGGACUCGCGGCUUAUCAGCUUGUUGGUGGGGUAGUGGCUUACCAAGGCUUUGACGGGUAGCCGGCCUGAGAGGGUGACCGGCCACAUUGGGACUGAGAUACGGCCCAGACUCCUACGGGAGGCAGCAGUGGGGAAUAUUGCACAAUGGGCGGAAGCCUGAUGCAGCAACGCCGCGUGCGGGAUGACGGCCUUCGGGUUAUAAACCGCUUUCGCCUGUGACGAAGCGUGAGUGACGGUAAUGGGUAAAGAAGCACCGGCUAACUACGUG
rnacentral:rRNA from 1 species